CAAUAGCGUCUAUUAAAGUUGUUGCAGUUAAAAAGCUCGUAGUUGGAUUUCGGGGCAGCCUGGCUGGUCCGCCGCAAGGCGAGUACUGGUCAGCCGCCCUUCCUCUCGAAAGCCCCGACUGCUCUUCGUUGCAGUGGUCGGGUAGUUCGGGACGUUUACUUUGAAAAAAUUAGAGUGUUCAAGGCAGGCCUACGCCUGAAUACAUUAGCAUGGAAUAAUGGAAGAGGACCUCGGUCCUAUUUUGUUGGUUUCCAGGGCCGAAGUAAUGAUUAAGAGGGACAGUUGGGGGCAUUCGUAUUUAAUUGUCAGAGGUGAAAUUCUCGGAUUUAUGAAAGACGAACAACUGCGAAAGCAUUUGCCAAGGAUGUUUUCAUUAA
rnacentral:rRNA from 1 species